UAGCCGCUGUCUCCGAAAUCCCGACCAGCGCUUUUCCUCCUCACUAACCCAACAUCUGCUUGAAGAAUAGGGUCUUGUAAGACAAGCCUGGGUCACCUUUCAGUGUGACACGGCGGCGGGCGGGCCAACAUCUGGCGGGCCGGGGUCAUCAACAGGCUAGGGGGCCGAACUGGUACGGUGAAACAGUGAUCAACAGUGCAGAUAAGCUACAGGUCAAGCCAUGGGGUCCAUAUCCUUUCUCACAGUUAAAAGAGUUAUGUUGAUUCGAGUUCAACUUAUUUCGUGGCCUACUGCAGUAUCUUCGUGCCAAAAUUGCAUCCUGGCAACGGAGAGACGAGGGCGUACCUUGAGCGGACAAACCCUGCUGUAACAAAUAUGGAGAACAUUUGAUCAACGGUCAGCAGGCGCGCUGGCGCCUUAUCUUCAUGGGAAAAGACAUUUCUAGCGAUACACGCCUGCUUCUGAAUGGACAGCUCCACAAUGUUCUUUGGUCCCCUAGGAGACAUCUUCGGAUCGCUUCGAGUCAGCGACGGACGUCUGGAAAGCUGUCUAAUGGAAGAAAUAGGUUGCUGCUCAGAGAAUAACAGCGGAUUGAAAGGACGAAGGGAGGUACUGAGCGAGGAUGGUCUAGUUUCGCUCGUGCUGAGGGAAGAAGCAGCUGCAAGAUGAAGCUAGAAUUGAGAGCGUACCUUUUAUGCAGAACACAGCUUUAACUGUAAAAAUUAGCUUCAUGUGUUAGCCUAAUAUAAACUGUUUUACGUUUCCUUUGAUCAGCCUUUAUUCCUGGAGCGGUUGGAAAGAAAAGAAAUCGUUCAAAUAGACAGAUAACAUACCAGAGGGGUUUGUCCGUUGUAGGGGUACAGAUUGCUCAUUUAGCGGACUAACUCCUCUGACAUGAUACUAAUACGUCUAUUUGGCCCAUUUCUCCUCUUCCAGCCGCUUUUGAUAGUCGCAGCUUAUCAAUUGAUCAUGUAUUUACUGAUAGCAUCUACGAAAAUUAUCAUCCCUUCAUAUUACCUAGAUGAGUAAAAUAUACAUUAGCUGCUUUCUAUACACCGUGUCAUGUAUGUAUAUGUUUGAAAGGAAUACGCCUACCUUGUGAAAGGUGUCGCGCAAAAUUGAACAUCAUAAUCAAAUCACUGGUGAUUGUGUAAUAAUAGACUUUCAGAAAAAAAAA